AGUAACCUCUCAGGGCCCAAGUUCCUCCUUCGUGAGGCAGAGACUAACCCAGAGGGAACGGUGAUGUGAACGUCGGUGGAAUCUCCUGGCCUGCGGUUGUCAGUAAACUGAAGCUGGUGUUAUUCAGAACGACUAGAAUUCUUUUUUUUUAACCAAAGAGCUGGAAGGAUGCCUGGCCAUUUGCAUUUCAAGUUUCCCAAACUACCACCUGAAAAAUCUCUGCGAAACAGGUUUCCAGGCGCUGGAGGUGGGCGGGCUCUAGUCCGUGGGAAAGUGAUGGGUGGGCCGAGGCUCCCCGGGAGCGCAGGCCGCGUGAACCGGACGCGGGGUCACCGGGUGGCUGCGGGGGGCGGGGGCCGGGGUGAGCCCCGUCUGCGCCUGCGCCGUCCGCUCCCACCGCCCCGGGGGCGGCGCAGCCCCCGCACCUGGAGGGGUAGGUGGGCCUCGGCGGCCCUGAGGCGCGGAGCCCGGGGCGAGCGGGCGGGCGGGCCUCCGCCGGGCCCCGUCCGAGACCCCGGGAGCCGAGGGCCGGGGUCACAGCGAGGCUACGCCGGGGCCCGUCCAGAGGCCGUGGGCGAGCGGCGCGCGGGCGGGCUCGGCGCCUGCGGGCUGCGCGCUCGGCCGGCCGGCAGGGGGCGCGCGGAGCCUGCGUUCCGGGGGACGGCCGCCCGCGGGGGUCGCGCGCCGGGAGCUGCAGGGGCGGGCGCGGGGGCGGUGGCUGGGUGAGGACGCAGGCCUGGGUCAGCGCUGCGGCCCGCGAAGGGAGCCCGGCCUGAGAGCGGCGGCGGGCACUUGGGGGCCACCCCGCCCCGGGCAGCGCCCGCCGGCUCUCGGCUCAGUCCGGCUCAUUCCUCCCGGCCGCCGCCUCGUGCUCCGGAGCUGGGGACCCGGGGGCGGGCAGGAGAGGCCUCGCUCGCCCAGGACCUGCUCGGGGACCCUGCCCGCGUUGGUGAUCGAUCGUCGAGUCCCUAUCACAGGGCUCCUUGGGGUGAGGAAACAGCUGGGGACUAAGGAAAACUCGAGAUCCCAACCGGCAGAUUCGCCCUCCGCCCCGGGGCCGCGUCCCUGCCUGCAGCCUGGGCCUGGACUCCACUUCCAGGCCGACUGCUUGGAAUCAGCUGCGUCCAGUUGGAGCUGAACUGGUUGCGGCCGGAUGGGACCACCGAUUCCCGAGCCGGGCCUGCGCGAGGGCCCGCCCAGCGCCCUUUAGACCGUGCAGCGGCCUGUAGCCCAGCUGCGCCUGCGCCUGCGCAGAAGGAGUCCCGCAGCUUUCUCCAAUCAUCACCUUUCCCCGCGCUCCCCACGCCUCAGCUGCCUGGCCAACAGACCCGGGCGUCUCGGCGUUUGGCUUGCUGUGCGUCAGCCCAGAGGAGCCUGGUUGGGUACCAACUGCACAGGGACACUGCAGCUCGGGACCAAUGACUCUGCGCCACCUCUACCAGUUUGUGGUUUUGGAAGCAUCAGAUAACUUUCCAUAGAAAAGGACAUUAUUCUAAGGAAGAGAAGUGUCACUGUCCACAAUCCAAGAUCGGCAUCAUCUUCAUUCUGUUGCCAUAUGACACCAGGUGAUGGCGAUGACGACAGUCAUACCUAAUUUCUGCAUUAGGAAAAAAUCCGGAAAUGCAAUUUCAGGGGAAGUGCCCCGUGCUCUGUCCACCAUUACCUCUCCAGGGCAGGUGCUGAAAUAAAAUCAUCAGAGAGAAGAGACUACCGCUCGGAAAGUGUGCAAAUGGUGCUCAAACAACACGUUAGCAGCGUCAAUCCGUGCCAAUACAAGCCACGCCCGUCUCUGACACACCUGUCCGGCGUGUCACACUGGCGGCGAGUUAGUGUAAGGUGCAGGUGAUGCUGGAGUUUAGGUCUCGAAUUCUGGAAGGUCGCGCUCAAGACGUGACUGCGAGGAGGGCCUGUUCUGUUGUUCUUGUUAAGAUGGAUCCGUGGGUCUCAGUAACGACCUUAGAAAAUCCCGUCAUUUCCCCAGAUUGCGCACAGCAAGGCAGCUGCCUCCUUCUCAGAACUCUCCGGGCUUCUCCACACGGGCUCUGGGCUCUGCGGUGCCCUUGAGCCUGACCGCCUGGGGUCAGGGAGGCAGCAGAGGUCAGAUGCAUCUCCUUCUCUGUUCCGCUCACGGCCCGAGGCCCAGAGGGAAGCAGGAGGCCGCUGUACGCUCGUGGGGACAGUCCUCUGCUCGGUGUCAGAGGGACGAGGACCCGGGAGAUGUGCAGUACGUCCGGUGUGAUGCUCCUGUCACACUGAUGGGACGCGACACCGGGAACGGAGCCGUGAGGCCCCCUACAGCCAGGGCGGUGCAGCCCGUCUGCAGAGACCCACCUGCUUCCCUGAAGCCUCUGCACAUCCCCAGGACGCGAAUGGAGGCACGUUUCCCCUGCCCAGUGAUGGAAAGGAGGCCAGGAGCCGCGCAGGCUGCUUUCGGGUGGGCACCGGCCCCGCGGAAGGUCCCAGUUGGAAGUUGUGGGCACGUGGGGACCCGAGCAGGGCUGCCCGCGCUGCCCUCGGGAGGGGCCGGGUGCUUUGGCUGCCGUGGCUUCUUGGGACCACCAGGUCAUCACACGUUGCCCACGGAGCGUGCGUCAUCCUGUGCUUACCUCCCAACUCGCUGCCUCGUCGGGCAGCUGUGUAACGGAAUUCUCACAGAGCAUCUCACUGCGUGGAGAAAGCAUCCCCACCCUCCUUCCUGCGCGUCAGGACCACCCCCCAGGGCACCAGCCCCUCCUCCCCUUCCUUCCGGGGCCCAGGGACCAGCUUUGGAGCCCGUGCCACUCCAAACGUCAGAGAACAAACACACCGAAGGCAGCCAACAGUUACACGACGGAGCUUUGUGACCCACGUGCCUCCGUCCCGACGUGUGUGUCUAUGGGACGGGUUCUCACGCCUGCACCCUGGGCAGGCGGGCCCUCCCGGUGCUGGGCGCCUGCAGCGCUGUUUCAGGCAGGGCUGCCGUCCCUAACCGGGUGACUUGGGCUGAGUCACGGAGAUAAAUUGCUCCUUCAAAAGUCUGGAGGACGCUGGGAAAUGGAAGAGACCGGAGGCCCGGAGGCAACUAGAAGCCUGUUCAGAUUUCCGGGAGAGACAGGAAUCCGCCGACGGUGACGGGGAUGGAGCAGCGUGAACGUCUGUGCAGCCAAGUGAACGAAGCAGGGUGUAAGAAGGAGGGCCAUAUUCUGAAUACUUUGCGAUCAAGAUUUUGUUCCAACUUAUGAAACUCUUCUGUACUUCUGGGAUUUUACAGAUUCGAAAUUAUUUCAUAUCAGCACUCAUUCCACCUGUUGUACGUGAGAAAAGGUCAGUUCUACAGAAAGCAGCUGGAAAACAAGGGCGUCUCAAGGGCGCAGGGGCCGCUCCAUCCGGCAGCUGACACAGCCAGACCCGUGCGCCGGGCUCCAGUCACCAGCGCAGGCCGCACGCUGAGGUGGUGAGCUUCGGGCGCCCGAGCCCUCGCCAACCCCUGUGACUCUGCACCAUCCACCCGGGGCUCCAACCGUCCUGGGGCAGAGUGACGCAGGCUCCUUUCAGGCUACAGAUGCAAGAAAAGGGGCCCUGAGAUGACACCCACCAAUCACCCAAAGGGGGAUACACGUACUAGCCCUGGCUAGUCCCCAGUCUGAAGUGGGCCUGGGGGAAUCCAGGUGUGUCGAUUCAGAAGUGACUUCAGCACUUUCCUAUGUUAGCUAUGGGAAACAGCAGGACUGCAGGUGCCGAAGACCCCCAGAAGCACCCUGCCCGAGGAAGGCCGCCCAUGCGGUGGGGAAGCGUACCUUAAAGAGCGGAGACACGCGUGCCCUCCUCAGGGACUCCUCCAGACUGAAGGAGAAAAGCACCUCGGCCUCGGCGUCUCGGAGAACGUAGCUCUGCUCAUCUGGAAGAGAGAACAGCACACUGUCCAACAGUGCCCGGGGUGCAACGUGCCACCGGCUCCAGGCUGCCCCCUGUCAGGGAUCGCACCUGGGCCCUCUGCAUUGGGAGCAUGGAGUCUUAACCACUGGACCACCAGGGAAGUCCCUGAAGUGCUACAUUUGAAAUCCACUCCGGAGUCACGAUGUGCUUCACCACGGAGAUGGCCGUCAGGAACUUCACGGUGCGCGUCACCUUGCUGGAGAUGAGGCACCCCCAAAAGGCCUCCGUGUGGCACCUCCAAGGGAAGCAGCCAAUCAACGCUCCACUUCAUCAGCAGCCCCGCCCCCGCCCUCACUGGCCUUGCUGGUCCUGAAGAGCGGGAGGCCCCCCCACCCCAGGCUCUAGUCCUGUGUCUUCCACCUGCCCCGUCUCAACCCAGAAGGCACAGAACAAAGCUGUUUGACUCAAGCACACAUUUUAAAUUAAACCUCAGUCUUUUUCAUUUCCUUAAAUUUUCUCAAAUCCUAUUUUUAGCUUAUAUUUGAGACAGUCUAUCCAAUUAAGAAAAACUUAUUUGUGGCAUUUUAAUGAAAUAUAUAAUCACAUAAUUAGGCUUUCACUAAAAAAUCCAAUCAUUCCCAGACUGUAUGGAUGUGGGGAAUGGCAGGAGGGAGAGCUGAGGGGCAGGGAAGAGAGGAAGCCCCUCGCUGAGCAGAGCACGGCCUGGAGGGCCUCUGGGUUCUAACGGAGCCGCCGGCUUCUCUUUACCAGGUGAGACCAGCGCACGUCUGCACACAGCCACCCCCUGCCGACCCGCCGGGUCAGGGGUCGGGACGCAGGCUCCCGGGCCCACACCCAGGACGCCUGGAGCGGGUUCCAGUCCCCCACCCCCGUUCCACCACAGCAGCUCACCGGGGGUUCUGGCGGCGGUUCUGGUUAAAGGAGAAGAUUCAACUGUUUUUUUAAUAAGAGAGGAAAAAACACUGGCUAUUCCCUGUUUAUCUCCAGCAAUGAAAUGAGACGUGCCACGAUAAAGCUGUGACGCAAUCAGCAAAUCCUUCCAAAUCCUAUUCACUGUGAACAUUUCAGGGAACUUUCCCAACUGCCACCAUUUUCUAAAACAAACCUGUAAAAGCUCAUCAACCAUUAAAAGAAAAGAAAAAAAAAAAAGGCGAUUCUUCGUACCUGGCUCUUUUGGAAGAGGGCUGGGUAUUGGUUGCUUCAUUCUGCUUCAGUUUGGGAGGCAGUCGUACACCCUGUGGUUAAAAUAUGAUUUACUUUAAUCAGUCUCCCCAGUAAUACAGUCGCUUCCGAGAGCUUUCCACCUACCCCACUGCGUACGAGACACACGCACCCACCACCACGCCUCACCAGCCGAGAGACAGACACACGCGAGCCUUCCAGGGAAGCCCUGGGCUGGUGCCCUCAUUAUUCACCAGACCCAGCAGUUCUUUAAAACGUCUUCACCCCUCUCUCUGUUCACGUUACGGAUUUAAUCCUCAACCUUGAGCUUUUCACUUCAAAUAUUUUGUCUUGUGUCCCAGUUUGGGAUUUGGAAAACACACUCGUUGCAACUACACGCCCAGAAAGAGACUCUUCCUGAACUGAGACGUCACCACGAGGGUCCGGGACGACCAGGCCACAGCGCUCUGGAGGGCGGGGCAAGGUGCUGAAGGCCGCCCCGGGCCCCAGGUGCGGGGCGCCCACGUUCCUGGAACCAGCUGGAGCCCCUGACCUGCGGAGACGCUGAGCCGAAGGGCAGGGGGAGGCCGGUGCCCCUGGAGGAACCCCCGAGUCAGCCUUCACCCUUGCCUCACCUCUAUGCAGACCUUCGUCCACAAAUACACUUUCUCUCUGUUUCACUACUUGAAGCAAUGACCUCUCAACCUGAGAUGACAGUGUAGAUGCCCCCCCCCCCCCCCACCCCCCGCACUUGUUUCGUUAACAACCAACUGCUGGCCUUCAGGUCCAGAACGGUCCCUCCUGAAGGUACCCUAUCAGAGCUCAGCCAGCGGGCUGGAACCCCACCUGGGACAUGCGGGAACAGUCCCAUCACGGUGAGGUCCGGGCUCCUGCAGAGUGAGCUGUGGGUCCAGGGCUACUGCACUAACGCCUCAGCUCUUGCCUCCCUGACCCUAUGGAAACACGUCGUCUUACUUACUCAGCUCUCCGAUUCUUUAAGCAAUCGUAUAGCUCUUUGAAGCGAUAAUGUUCCUAACGUGUAUAAAUAUGAAUAACAACUGACAAUAUCAUCAAUUAAGAAAAAAAAAGAUGCAGGGUAUACUAAACAGCUACGACAGGCGAGAAGAUACAGCCCUCAUUUGUUAUGGUGACAAACUACUAAAAGAAUUCUUAAUUCACAGAUACAAAUGUAUCCCUCCUGCAUGUGUAUAAUACACAGUUAACAGCCAAAGUAAGGUUAUGAGCUUGACAUACCAUCAGCAACUCUGCUGACACUUUCAACGGGACUCUCCAAGCAUCUAAAGAGAGAAACGGGUUACUUUUCAGAUAUACUGUGUAAAUAGAUAAGCCGUGUUACAAAAGCCUUUUCAUGACACAUACACACACUAGUAUACAUGAAACAGAUAACCAACAAGGACCUACUGUAGAGCACAGGGAACUCUACUCAAUCCUCUGUAAUGA